rnacentral:rRNA from 1 species
CCAAUCGAACUCGGAGAUAGCUGGUUCUCCCCGAAAUAGCUUUAGGGCUAGCCUCAUAUUAGAUACCCGGAGGUAAAGCACUGAAUGGCCUAGCGCCCGAGAGGGUAGCGAAGCCUAUCAAACUAAGAAUGCCGGAGUAUUGAUGUAUGGGAGUCAGACAGUGUGAGAUAAAUCUCAUUGUCAAAAGGGAAACAGCCCAGAUCUACAGCUAAGGUCCCAAAUUGUAUCUAAGUGGAAAACGAUGUGGAAAUACGCAGACAACCAGGAUGUUGGCUCAGAAGCAGCCACUCAUUUAAAGAGUGCGUAAUAGCUCACUGGUCGAGCGUCUCUGCGCGGAAAAUUUAACGGGGCUAAGAUACAAACCGAAGCUUAGGCUGCACGAAAGUGCGGGGUAGGGGAGCGUUGUGUAAGCGGAGAAACAGUAGCGUAAGCGGCUGUGGAGUUUACAGAAGUGAGAAUGCCGGAAUGAGUAGCGCGAAUGUGGUGAGAAUCCACAUGGCCGGAAACCUCAGGUUUUUGGAGGAAGGUUCGUCCGCUCCAAGUUAGGCGGGAGCUAAGGUCAGGCCGAAAGGCGUAGCCGAUGCACAGACGGUAGAGAUUCCGUCCCCACCGAAAGAUUUAAGCACAGGGACACUUUUUGAAGGUCGGAGCCAGGUGUUGGUUCUGGUAGAGAUCGAGGGAAAUAUAGUACCGAAGUCCGGCUGGAGAAGAGGCGAGAAAAGCUGUGUGUAUAUCUAAGGUGCCCGUACCGCAAACCGACACAGGUAGGUAGGAAGAAGAUUCUAAGGCCAACGGGAGAAGGGUUGUUAAGGAACUCGGCAAGUUGACCCCGUAACUUCGGAAUAAGGGGUGCUCACGAGAGUGAGCCGCAGAGAAUAGGCCCAGGCAACUGUUUACCAAAAACACAGGUUUGUGCUAAAUCGAAAGAUGACGUAUACGAGCUGACGCCUGCCCGGUGCUGGAAGGUUAAAAGGAGAUGUGCAAGCAUUGAAUUGAAGCCCCAGUGAACGGCGGCCGUAACUAUAACGGUCCUAAGGUAGCGAAAUUCCUUGUCAGGUAAGUUCUGACCCGCAUGAAAGGCGUAAUGAUUUGGGCACUGUCUCAACAGCCCGCCCGGCGAAAUUGUAGUACCGGUGAAGAUGCCGGUUACCCGCGACAAGACGGAAAGACCCCAUGGAGCUUUACUGUAGCCUGAUAUUGGGUUUCGGUGUUGCAUGCACAGGAUAGAUGGGACGCUAGGAAGGCAGUGCUUUGGCAUUGCUGGAGCGGACGUUGGGAUACCAUCCUUGCGACAUUGGAAUUCUAACCUGCGCCUCUGAAUCGAGGCGGGGGACAUUGUCAGGUGGGCAGUUUGACUGGGGCGGUCGCCUCCUAAAAAGUAGCGGAGGCGUUCAAAGGUUCGUUCGAUCUGGACGGAAACCAGAUGAUUGAGUGCAAACGCAUAAACGAGCCUGACUGCGAGACUGACGGGUCGAGCAGAGACGAAAGUCGGAGUUAGUGAUCCGGUGGUAUGUGAGUGGAAAUGCCAUCGCUCAACGGAUAAAAGUUACCCUGGGGAUAACAGGCUGAUCUCCCCCAAGAGUCCACAUCGACGGGGAGGUUUGGCACCUCGAUGUCGGCUCAUCGCAUCCUGGGGCUGAAUUCGGUCCCAAGGGUUUGGCUGUUCGCCAAUUAAAGCGGUACGCGAGCUGGGUUCAGAACGUCGUGAGACAGUUCGGUCCCUAUCUGUCGUGGGCGCAGGAUAUUUGAGGAGCUCUGUCCUUAGUACGAGAGGACCGGGAUGGACGAACCUCUGGUGCACCAGUUGUCACGCCAGUGGCACAGCUGGGCAGCUAUGUUCGGAUCGGAUAAACGCUGAAAGCAUCUAAGCGUGAAGCCGGCCUUAAGAUAAGAUAUCCCACUGAGUCAAUCAGGUAAGACCCCUUGAAGACUACAAGGUUGAUAGGCACACAGUGUAAGCGGAGUGAUCCGUUCAGCUAGCGUGUACUAAUAGGUCGAGGGCUUGACCCC